rnacentral:rRNA from 1 species
AUUGAACGCUGGCGGCAUGCCUUACACAUGCAAGUCGAACGGCAGCACGGGUGCUUGCACCUGGUGGCGAGUGGCGAACGGGUGAGUAAUACAUCGGAACAUGUCCUGUAGUGGGGGAUAGCCCGGCGAAAGCCGGAUUAAUACCGCAUACGAUCUACGGAUGAAAGCGGGGGACCUUCGGGCCUCGCGCUAUAGGGUUGGCCGAUGGCUGAUUAGCUAGUUGGUGGGGUAAAGGCCCACCAAGGCGACGAUCAGUAGCUGGUCUGAGAGGACGACCAGCCACACUGGGACUGAGACACGGCCCAGACUCCUACGGGAGGCAGCAGUGGGGAAUUUUGGACAAAGGGCGAAAGCCUGAUCCAGCAAUGCCGCGUGUGUGAAGAAGGCCUUCGGGUUGUAAAGCACUUUUGUCCGGAAAGAAAUCCUUGGCCCUAAUACGGUCGGGGGAUGACGGUACCGGAAGAAUAAGCACCGGCUAACUACGUG